rnacentral:rRNA from 1 species
CCUACGGGAGGCAGCAGUGAGGAAUAUUGGACAAUGGGCGCAAGCCUGAUCCAGCCAUGCCGCGUGCAGGAUGAAGCAUCUAUGGUGUGUAAACUGCUUUUAUACAGGAAGAAACCUCCCGACGUGUCGGGAAUUGACGGUACUGUAAGAAUAAGGAUCGGCUAACUCCGUGCCAGCAGCCGCGGUAAUACGGAGGAUCCAAGCGUUAUCCGGAAUCAUUGGGUUUAAAGGGUCCGUAGGCGGGCCAGUAAGUCAGUGGUGAAAUCUCUCCGCUCAACGGGGAAAUGGCCAUUGAUACUGCUGGUCUUGAAUUAUUAGGAAGUAACUAGAAUAUGUAGUGUAGCGGUGAAAUGCUUAGAGAUUACAUGGAAUACCAAUUGCGAAGGCAGGUUACUACUAAUGGAUUGACGCUGAUGGACGAAAGCGUGGGUAGCGAACAGGAUUAGAUACCCUGGUAGUCCACGCCGUAAACGAUGGAUACUAGCUGUUGGGGGCAACUUCAGUGGCUAAGCGAAAGUGAUAAGUAUCCACCUGGGGAGUAACGUUCGCAAGAAUGAAACUUCAAAGGAAUUGAGG